UGGCGAAUACGCAAUGCGAAUUGCAGAAAUCAGCGAGCCAUCAGAUCUUUGAACGCAAGUGGCACUGGUUUAACAGCCAGUAUGUUUGUUUCAGUGUGUUCAGAAAUCCAAUAUCUCAGUGCGAUUGAAGGGAAACACUUUUUAAGUAUUUCUCUUCUCUCGUUAAACGAGGCAGGCGCUGAGCUAGCGCAGGCAAAACGAAGUAGUCGCAUUUUUCACAAUGUGAUCUCGUUUAGCUUAAUACGCAGCUCAAAUAAAGUGACUGCAAAAAGUAAUAUGAAUUAUUUUCUUCUUCGACAUCUGAAAUCAAGCAAGAUUACCCGCCGAACUUAAGCAUAUCAAUAAGCGGAGGA
rnacentral:sRNA from 1 species